CACCACGCGAGACAGUGAAAUAUCCUCCCAUUUUCUCAAUGAAAAACAAAUCUGGUCUCCUUUCUCCUCUCGCCCUCACCACGCCGCCCUGCACUGCCCUCGCUCCGCCGUACCCGCGCCGCCCCGUCGUGCCCACCGCCGCCGGCCUAUCCCGCGAGGAUAGCCACCCUACCGACUCCCUUCUCUUCCCCUGUUCCUCCCUACUGCCGCACCUCUCCCUUCUCUCCCCCUUAUCUUCUUCCUGCCUUGUGCGGCCGCCCUCCUCCCCAGAUCGCUGGUAGAGGGGAUCCAACCCCCUUCCUCUCCACCAGAUCCGGCCAUCCCAGGUCCGGAUCCAGCGGACUGGGCGGCGAGGAAGGCCGGCGAUGGCCUCGCCUUCCCCUGCUGCUCGAGGAGGCCUGCAGCAAGGCGCCGGUGGAUCAGGCCGUUCUCCCUGCUUUGAGGCGGUUGGCGUCAUGGUCCGCUGCUCCGUCCUCCACUGCCCGCAGAUGACCUCCUUCCGCAAGAGCAGGAGCAUCACCAACGGCGGUAUCUGGCUGUCCCAGGCAUCACCGGCACCUCCGCUGCCGUGAGCACGCGAUCUCCAUCACCCAUCCCGGCUAUCCAUCCAUGGUGAGCCCAUCUCCCUUUCCCCCCUUCUACCCAAACGAAUUUGAUCUUUUCUCACUACUAGCUUGCGGCUGCUGGUUAGAUUCGAAUUGAUCUUUACUAUUUUACAUGCUUCGCUCUUUGGUCACUGAAUUUUUAUCUGAAUGCAAUUCCAGUUGAAGUAUUACCACACCAUCUAUGAAAUUUCAUGUAUAGUUGCAGAGAAAAUUAAAUGCAAACAGUUGUGUGUGCCGGCACCAUCUGAAUGCAAUUUUAUGAAGUAUUACCACACCAUCUCAGUAAAACUUUCGCAUAGGUGACUACCAUAUUUAUUUAUCUUGCAUUGAAAUUACAGGAAAAUCUCUUAUCAGUUUUUUUGUGUGUAGUGAUUCUUCCAAUGGUGAGUUAAGUUCAAGAAUGACAUUGCUCCUUGAAGAAGAGGAUGUGUUUCAAAAGACAUGCUUUAAAUUUUAGGUACGUGCUUGCAUGUGUGCACUUACUAGUAUGACCAAAUUGUCAUAUUUAUAGCUGUUGUGAUGCUGUAACGGGCUACUUUUUGGUGUAGCAACAACACUUGCUACUGAUAAUGAACAUGUUAUUUGAAUAAAGACUGAGGUUGACUAAAUUAAUUUGUGUUAUGUGCAGUUUCUUUUGAUUAUAUUUCUCCAUUUGAUUUUUUUGAAUUAUGGUCAUAAUGAAUUCAAAUAUGGUCAAUGCGGAUUCAUAUAUGGCAAAUAUGAAUUCAAUAUGGUUCCCUAGAGUGUAUUUCAGAUUAUGGUAGUUCUUUAGGGGAAGAUGAUGAUGUGGCAUACCAGAUUUUGGUCCUACACCUACAACUGCAUGUGAUAACUUUUCCUAGAGUGUAUUUCAGAUUAUGGUAGUUCUUUAGGGGAAGAUGAUGAUGUGGCAUACCAGAUUUUGGUCCUACACCUACAACUGCAUGUGAUAACUUUUCCUAGGGUUCCAGCCUCUAGGUAAAGAAUGUUCUCCUAGAGUUAUUAAAAUGCCUCUAGGUAAAGCCUUCUUUCCCCACCAUACUAUACCUAGGGUUCUUUUCCUAGUGCAGUCCUUAGGUGAAGCCUUUACUUAAGGUUUUUUUUGUUUUCACCUAGAGUAUUUAGCAUUAGGGAAAACUGUGUAUUCUAGUAGUGUCACAAUGUUAUUCCGAGCUGGUACAAGGUAGUUCAUAACACGCAUGCACAUGGUUUACCGAACUGUUACUAUGGGUCCGGUGCUCUUUGCGAAAGUUACUAAAAAUUGCAUAUUUGAAAGAGGCUAUGAAUCUUACUCAGAUACGACUUGGAGUCCUUCAACUCGUGCACGAUAUGGAAUCCUACUCAUAUACAGAUGGAGACUGCCGCCAUAUGUACAACCAUACCGUCAAGUUGUCUCAACAAUUGUAACCUUUGAUUCCAAUAUAAUCCAAUCGGGAAGCCGAAUCUGGGGAAAACCCAUGCUUACCCGAGUGUAUAUCCACAAUCAAAUAAAUUGAAGUAAAUUUCACAAAACAACAGUUCGGGGCAACAUUAUCCUUACACAAAUACGAAGUUGUAAAGAUCGAGCGACAUAUUCUUCAACAUGUAACUUCAACUAGUAAUUUGUAUUGUAUAUACACUCCUAUUCGUUGCAAAAAAAAUUUGUAUUGUAUAUGUAAAGUACAUACCCAGCGGAAAUUAUUGUAUUCUGGAAAACUUUUGAGACAAACCUAUGCGUAUAUCUCUUUAGUCUAACUUUAUUUUAAAUAUAAUGCAGGGAUAAACUUUUAUUUACGAAGAGAAGGAGAAGGCGUGUCAAGCUAACGGCCCCAGAACGGUUGCAAAAGCUAGCUCAUCUGUCACCAGAUACACAAUGACCUUUACCUGUUCCGUUGGCUACUGAAAAAUGCCUGCUGAGUUGUUGCCACUAUAUUACACUCUAAUAUACAUUUUUCUCACGAAAAAGGGGAAUACAGAAAGGUUUGGAGCUGCCACUAAGCUCGCAACAUUUUGGGUGCUGAUUAGGACGCAAUGAUGCGCCAUCUUCAGUGCUGGUUGUUGUUAAACUGAACUCAAACAUACUCCCUCUCAAGGUGCACGAUGACAUCUUUAAGGACAACUGAUUGGUAAUUGGGUCAGCACAAUUGUAUACAACUAUAUCAGAUAUGCUUGGGUCCAAAAGUUCGACCAUAUCUCUACUUAUUUAUAUUAUUGGUACUAAAACACAUUCCUAAACCACAGCCAUAAUUGGUGAAUGGUGAUGGUUGGGUAGAGGGGAGCAGGCAGCACUCCUAUGUGGAUGGAAUAUAGGCAACAAUUAGCCUUCGAUCUGCAAUUCGCUGAUGAUCACUCAUUCCUCCGCUCUUAAUUUUUAUUCUACUCCGGCCAUUGACUAGCCAUGCACAGACCGCUACUCUUACUGGCUGUUCCACAUUUCUUCCACUCCCUUCCAUUACAUAUAUGUUCCUUUUACGGAAUUUAAUCAGUUAGAUAUAGAUAAAUAUAUGUUCUCGGAGAAUACUAAUACAACACUAAGCUUUCUUUUGGUUCCUACUUUAGUUAACAUUCACCUUCAUAUUAUUUGUUUGGCGACAGUGGGCAUCAUUUAACGGAAUAAAGGCAUAUGCUGCCCUGGCCCUCUUUUCUUUCGAUAUGCUUAAAUUUGUGUCUGACGCACCAUGUUUUACUUUUGGAAGGAAGGGAAGGUAACCAAGGAAUAUGCUUCGUCGUGUCAUCUCAAAGCAAUAUCAGUGUUUGUUCUUCGGGUGGCCGCAGCAGGCAGCAGCCCACUACGAGGAGAUACGGCAAGAAAAUCUGAUUCCGGUGAAAUAGGUUAAAAC
rnacentral:lncRNA from 1 species